rnacentral:rRNA from 1 species
CACGUAGGGGGCAAGCGUUGUCCGGAUUUAUUGGGCGUAAAGAGCUCGUAGGCGGCUUAGUAAGUCGGGUGUGAAACCUCCAGGCUCAACCUGGAGAUGCCACCCGAUACUGCUGUGGCUAGAGUCCGGUAGGGGAGCGUGGAAUUCCUGGUGUAGCGGUGAAAUGCGCAGAUAUCAGGAGGAACACCAGCGGCGAAGGCGGCGCUCUGGGCCGGUACUGACGCUGAGGAGCGAAAGCGUGGGGAGCAAACAGG